AUUGAACGCUGGCGGCAUGCUUUACACAUGCAAGUCGAACGGCAGCGCGGGGUAACCUGGCGGCGAGUGGCGAACGGGUGAGUAAUAUAUCGGAACGUACCCAAGAGUGGGGGAUAACGUAGCGAAAGUUACGCUAAUACCGCAUACGAUCCAAGGAUGAAAGCAGGGGAUCUUCGGACCUUGUGCUCCUGGAGCGGCCCGCGUCUGAUUAGCUAGUUGGUGAGGUAAAGGCUCACCAAGGCGACGAUCAGUAGCUGGUCUGAGAGGAUGAUCAGCCACAUUGGGACUGAGACACGGCCCAAACUCCUACGGGAGGCAGCAGUGGGGAAUAUUGGACAAUGGGCGCAAGCCUGAUCCAGCCAUGCCGCGUGAGUGAUGAAGGCCUUAGGGUUGUAAAGCUC
rnacentral:rRNA from 1 species